GUGUUGUAUGAAAGGAGAGACAGUUAGCGCACCCCUCGACAAGGAUGGGAUAGUCUCUAGGGUCCCACAACAUGCAGACAAUUAUAGCAGUGCCACCUACUUCAAGGUAUCAAACUGUCAUUUGU